AUGCUACGAUCUAGAUCUCUCUAGAGAAAGAACAAGAAAGCUCUAUCUGGUCAUUAGCUUAAGUAUAUUGUUUAAUCUUGUGCUGUGAGUAUGAGUGUCCCGCUGUCUGCUGCUGUUACUCUAGGACUGCUGUUCUUCCUGUCUGUGGGACUGAACGAGCAGGUGGCCGAGGGCUGUAAAUGUCUUCAAAGACACCCUCAACAGGUGUUCUGCGAGUCUGAUAUUGUGAUUCGUGUGAAGGUCAUUGGAAAUGUGGCCAGCGCUCGCCCCGACUUGGUUGCAUACAGUGUCAAAGUUAUUACGAAGUACAAGCCUUCCAAUAAAAAGGCAAUUUGGGUCAUCUACACAGAUAAAACUUCAUGUGGCGGUUAUCUGGAAAACGGCGAGUAUCUGCUGUCAGGACAUGUUGUGGAUGGAGUGAUGGUUUUUGGUUUAUGUGACCUUGUGUGGCGUUGGGACCAACUCUCCUCCGUUCAAAAGAGGAACCUCAACAUGUAUCAGACUGCCUGUAUCUGUGAGAUUACAUCCUGUACUGGAGCGUCCUGUUUGACCAAGAAUCUUCAAAGAAAGUGUCUGGUAGGAGUCAAGAACUCCAUCGGUCUUGGUUAUGAAGAGGCUCUUCGGGCUGUUUGCCUGCCAGGCAGACACGGCUCCUGCAGAUGGCAAAAGUGAUUUAAAAGUGACCACAAAUGCUCCUAAAAAUGAUGCCCUGAAGACCAAGUGCAACAGCCAUUUGGACAUUUGGUUCUUCAGAAUCCUUAGAACAUUCUUGAAUUUAAACUCUACUGCUUUGCAAUGCAGUUUUCAUGGAGAUGCUAUUAAACCAUUAAACUGUCUUGGAUGUAAAA